ensembl:lncRNA
GACAGGUCUUAUGGAGGAGGCAGCAGAGACUCUGCUCUCCUCGUUUGGAUUAAUUCUGAUAUAAUAACUGUUGGUUUAUUUAUCGGUGGAGCAGCAGAACCUUCUCUACAGACAGUUUUCCUGCCCGUUGGCUUGUUUUAACCAGUUUUCUACCUUCGGCUGAUUCUACCAGCAGACACUGAAAGGACUCUGAUAGUUCGAGUGAAAGUAGCAGUUCCUCCUGAAGGUCAGAGAUCGCAGCAUCUGAGGGCCUCUUCAAAAGAAGACGUAGUUGAUGAAGGCGUUCUGGAGCAGGACCAGAAAGACCACGACCAAGCAGCCUUGAGAUCUUAGACAGCUUCUCCCUCAGGUCCCUCUCUAUCUCCCCACACAUCCACCAACCACUGGAACACAUCUCCAAAGUUCUGCCGGACCAGCUCAGCUUCCCCUCAGAAGAAGUGCUGCCACCUGCCAGAUGAAGGAGCCUUUUGAGAGGCAGCUGGCAUCGUGAUUGGACUGUACUUUGGUCUGUUCCAAUCCAGCUUCAGCUCCAGAGACGGCAGGCGGGACGAGUCAACGGAGGCCUGGUGGACGAAGGCAUGAAGCUGAGUACAAUCCAGAAAACAACAGAGGAAGAAACAAACAUAGUGUAUACAUCAUAUACUGUAGAAAAGACACAUCCACUGUAGAAUU